CCAUCUGAAAGUGUUCCCUCCUUAGCUAAAAAAAUCAGGUCACUCUCCCUCCCAAGUCGCUCUCAGCCUCUCUCUCACUCGCCAUCGUUCUCAGCCUCUCUCUCACUCCCCAUUGCUCUUAGCCUAAAUCCCGCUCACCCUCUCACCCUUGUCGAGUCUCUCAGCCUCGUCUCUCUCCGUCGCGCGCGCCUUCAGUCUCUCCACCACGGGUUCUCUCUCCAUCAGUCUCCCUCAGUCGCGACUCCAUACACUACUAAAAACAAUUGCAUUCACUUCGGCAAUUUACAACGGCAUUGGUUUCCGUAGCUUUGGUUAUCGCCAGUUGUCUCUCAUCUCCUCUUUCAUGCUCAUCGAUUGUGUUGCUCUUUGAUUGUAAUUUGGUUUUGUGCGAAUUUUGAUCUGAUUUGGGUGGAUUUAGUUUGGGUCUGUAUAGGGCUCAAGAUCUAAUUUUGAUUUGGAUUUCUUUCUAGGUUUUCAGGGUUUGUGAUUACAUUGUUUUGAAACCCAUCUUGAUUACCCGUUUUCUGGCCAAAGAUCGACGAGAUCUCUCUCCUCUCCGUCAACUCCUCCUCCUCCUUCGCUCCGGAUAAUUUUGUAGGAAUAAAGCUACAAUUUUUGUAGCUGCAUUUCAUUUUGGUUUAAGAACUGUUGUCUGUGGUAGGAAUAAAGCUACAAUUUUUUGGACAAAAUCAUUCUUCAAAUUUCAGAACUAAUAUAGCAGGAGGUGGUUUUCUUGUGGGUUAAAGUUUGUAUUGUUAUGCUUUGUGGGUAUCAAGUUUCUCCGAACGUUCAUUGCAAACAACUCCAGAGGAUUCUGCAUUUGUUGAAUGGAAUUGGAUUUUGAUGCCCAGAUUCAGAACUCAAAUGUGGAGAGUCAGAUCCAAGUAGCUGCACAUUGAUAUUAUAAUGCAGCAGCGAACAAACGGGAUUAAAUAUGGAACUAUGGAAGUAGGGAAAGACAUGCAGGCCUUGGGAGUCAUAAAUUGUUUCUAUUGAUAGACCAAAACAAUGCAGGAAGUUGCCAUUCUAGAGGCUUAUUCGUGAAAUUGCCCAGGUCUUCAAGGUAUAUAUACAUACAAUCUAUUGAUGACUCUUCAACUCAAUACAAACAUAAGCCAAAGAGGGCUCAUACAAUAUUUUAAUCGGCUCAAUGUCGAUAUUGAACUGUUGAAAUGUUCAUUGGACUUUGUUGUAUCACAGGUCUUGUGCAGCAGUAAAAAAGAAUUUGUGCAGUAAGUCUUUUCGCUGCAGGAAUGGAAAGGCUUAGCUUUUCGAUAAAGUUAAGUGUUAAAUCAAAGCUGUGCAUGCGCUUAUAUCUACCUGAUUUUUUCUUUAGGCAAUUGAAGGUUUUUACUUAAAAGACAUGAAUUUUGACAGAAAUAAUUUUACUGGUAGCUUCUCUUCCAUACUUGUGCAAAAUCUGGAGGCAGUUUGAGAGCAUAUGAAGCUAUACCAAGGCUAUUAGAGAUGUAGGAGUCUUCAAUGUUGGUAUACGGAGAUAAUAAUAAAGGCAUACAGAGGAAGCUUGCCUUGACCACACUGCUGGCUUAGUUGCUGUGCGUAAAUAGUACUAUCGUAUCUAGUAGUUGGUGACUUAUUUUGGUAACCUCCUUGAUUGUACAAGAUAGACAAUAUUACUUGCUAGAUUAAGGUUACUUUUGGUUAGGAUUGUUGGAUUUGAUCAUAUCUUGAUAUAGAUAUGUAUUUUUGGAAAUGUUUUAGAUUGGCGAUGUAAGAGACAAAUGGCAUUGAUAUAUGAUGAUGUCUUAUUUUAGAUUUGUUUGGGAUAUGAA